AAAUCCCCGGCCUGAGGGACUCUUUUAAAAGCCAGGAGAAACACAGUUGCUGAGAAGGAUUACCACCUCUUUGCUUUUAGCUUGGGCCCCCGGGACACGGGCUAAACAACUUGCCCAAGGUAAUGCAGGAGUCUGGAGGAAAGCCCAGCAACCCACAUCCAUAAUGCCGUAACCCUUUCCUUCCUGCUGGGACGUGCCUGCUGUGCAUCCUUCAGGCCAGGGCUGGCACCCCAGCCGCUGCAGCCAGCUGCUCGGUGAGCACCCUGCCCUGCAAGGUCAAUAGGCACAGGAAGGUGUACGAUGGAGGGAGUGGUAACGGGACUGAGCCACGUUUACUUGGUUUUUGUAAUUAACACUCAUUUAUCUGGGAAAUUACUCUUGGGAUUUACAGUAUUCGGUAAAUGUGAGUUGUUGGGAAAAUGGGCAGUAAACUUAGCUGUAAUCCUCAAGAAAAAAAAAAUCUAAAGAACAGUUAGCAGCCUCUCCAUGGCAUUGCAGGAUAUUGUAUCCACAGUGUUGCCAUCUUCUACUGUGCCAGACAAAUUUCUCCAUCGUUUCUCUUUCACUUUAGCUGGUGUAAUUUGGUGUAACGUAUAGAGGUCUGCAACGCUGUAGAGUCACAGCUGCCUGGAAAACUUGAAAAAAGAAAGGGCUAUAAAUUCUUUAAAGGAGGAAGAAUCCAUCUCUACCUUCAGAAGCGUAACUUACUGGUUCUCUCUGCGGGAGCCAUACUUCACUGCCCUUCAGCUCUUGCCAUGUCAGUCUCAGCCAAGCCCCCACAUCACUGGGGUGAGGGAUGCUGCUCUGGGCUUUCUCUGCAAAGAACUGAUGAAGCUUAAUCACAUAUUUCCAGAAGUGUCACCUCUUCUCUUAGCCUCUGGCAACCUGCCUGGCUUGACUGGCUUCUACAAAUCUCACUCAUAGGAUAAAUCAAACACCUCUACUCAGGAUCAAUUUUCCUUUUUAAAGAGAAUUAGCUGCUCUUCAGUGCCACUGAUAUAGUCACGGAACUUUCGCUGACAUUGUGGGCAGAGAUCUUAAGAAAAAUCACCCCAAAAGUCAUCACUGGAGAAAAGUGGAGAUGGAAAGGGAAUGUCUGACUGUAUGUGGGUUCUGCACUACUGUAGAUGGUAUGACUUUGUUUGUUCUGAUCUUCCCCUGAACGAUGGCGGUAGGUGUUAUGUUUGGCAUCAAAAGGCAGUUUAAUGCAAAAACAGUUGAAGGUAGUGGGUCACCAGUCCUUUGCCUUGCUUUACUUUGGAUAUGGACACUUGUCCUAUUUCUAAGUAGGUAGUUAGCAGCUUGCAAUGCUGAGGUUCUUUUUUAACUUGUAAAAAUAAAUAGUAUUUGUCAAUGACUUGUGAUCCUGAUGGGCUUUCUCAUGGUUAGGCUCCCCACAGAAGGACAAUAAAUGAUUGCAGCAGGAGUUUUAUACGCACAGCAGAAUUUUAUAAACAUGUUAGUUGUCUAGGCAUGGCUAAAAGAUGCUGUGGAUUCCUUCAUUAUGAAGUUCAAAACUGAUGUCUGUAAAGGUCAUGGACCUGUUGGCUAAUUGAGAUCUAGAUGUCACGGUGACAUAACUAGCCUGGAAAGAAAGCUGUUAAAGAAAGAUGUGCUAAAGGGCCCAUCCACAUCAUUUUUUAUGCUGUAAAAAGUUGGAAGGAUGCAUCAGAUGCCAUCAAUUUAAUGAAAUGUUUACAAGCAAUUAUCAGUUGCAUCCAUUUAUUUAGACUGCUUGCUUCUACCACAAAUAAACUGUUACCCUCAUUCCAUUCCUUUUCUUGUUACGCAUGUAAAACUUUCACUUAGCUGGCAACUCAUUUUUAUUGAAUCUUGAGGUCCCAAGAGACAGAUUUGGAACAUGUUUACUGCAGGGAAAACCAGCAGGACUUUGCUGACUUCACUGAAGUAACUGAGAUCAAAAAUCUUCUUCAAGGAGACCCCUUGCAUAUAAAUGCAGUUUGAAAAAAAAAACGCAUACAGAUAAAUGAGUAGAGAAAGGGUUGUUGUAGUAAUGACAUGCAUUCAACUUUCUAAAACUUCUGAUGAUAGAAAAUAUUUUAAACUAAUGGGCUCCCUUCAAUCAAUUUCUGUU